rnacentral:rRNA from 1 species
GAUGAACGCUAGCUACAGGCUUAACACAUGCAAGUCGAGGGGCAGCAUGGUCUUAGCUUGCUAAGGCCGAUGGCGACCGGCGCACGGGUGAGUAACGCGUAUCCAACCUGCCUUACACUCUUGGACAGCCUUCUGAAAGGGAGAUUAAUACAAGAUGUUAUCAUGAGUAAGCAUUUUCGCAUGAUUAAAGGUUUACCGGUGUAAGAUGGGGAUGCGUUCCAUUAGAUAGUAGGCGGGGUAACGGCCCACCUAGUCUUCGAUGGAUAGGGGUUCUGAGAGGAAGGUCCCCCACAUUGGAACUGAGACACGGUCCAAACUCCUACGGGAGGCAGCAGUGAGGAAUAUUGGUCAAUGGACGAGAGUCUGAACCAGCCAAGUAGCGUGAAGGAUGAAGGUUCUAUGGAUUGUAAACUUCUUUUAUACGGGAAUAAACGGAUCCACGUGUGGAUUUUUGCAUGUACCGUAUGAAUAAGGAUCGGCUAACUCCGUGCCAGCAGCCGCGGUAAUACGGAGGAUCCGAGCGUUAUCCGGAUUUAUUGGGUUUAAAGGGAGCGUAGAUGGGUUGUUAAGUCAGUUGUGAAAGUUUGCGGCUCAACCGUAAAAUUGCAAUUGAUACUGGCAGUCUUGAGUACAGUUGAGGUAGGCGGAAUUCGUGGUGUAGCGGUGAAAUGCUUAGAUAUCACGAAGAACUCCGAUUGCGAAGGCAGCUUACUAACCUGUAACUGACAUUGAUGCUCGAAAGUGUGGGUAUCAAACAGG